rnacentral:rRNA from 1 species
CCCGGCGACCGGCGCACGGGUGAGUAACGCGUAUGCAACCUGCCCGUUUCAGCGGGAUAACCCGGAGAAAUCCGGCCUAAUACCGCAUGUGGCCGAGGGGAGGCAUCUUCUUUCGGCCAAAGGAGGCAACUCCGGAGACGGAUGGGCAUGCGUGACAUUAGCUUGUUGGCGGGGUAACGGCCCACCAAGGCGACGAUGUCUAGGGGUUCUGAGAGGAAGGUCCCCCACACUGGUACUGAGACACGGACCAGACUCCUACGGGAGGCAGCAG